rnacentral:rRNA from 1 species
UGGGGAAUUUUGGACAAUGGACGCAAGUCUGAUCCAGCCAUGCCGCGUGCGGGAAGAAGGCCUUCGGGUUGUAAACCGCUUUUGUCAGGGAAGAAACGCUCCGAGUUAAUACCUUGGGGUAAUGACGGUACCUGAAGAAUAAGCACCGGCUAACUACGUGCCAGCAGCCGCGGUAAUACGUAGGGUGCAAGCGUUAAUCGGAAUUACUGGGCGUAAAGCGUGCGCAGGCGGUUAUGCAAGACAGAUGUGAAAUCCCCGGGCUCAACCUGGGAACUGCAUUUGUGACUGCAUAGCUAGAGUACGGUGAGGGGGAUGGAAUUCCGCGUGUAGCAGUGAAAUGCGUAGAUAUGCGGAGGAACACCGAUGGCGAAGGCAAUCCCCUGGACCUGUACUGACGCUC